CCAUCUUCCCAACCCCCGCCCCUCUGCCCACAAUGCCCUGCGCGCGCUCCGGCGGGGCAAGGGAGGGGCAUCACGUGAGGCGGCCGCGGAGGCCCCGCCCACACCCGCCCUGCCCCGCCCACACCCGCCGGGGUGGGGGGGUGACAUGGCCGCGGGGCGCUAGAGACGCGUGGCUGCCGGCGCGCGUCAGUCUGCCGCCCUCGCAGAACCUCCCGCUGGGGGUUCGGGGAGCAUCUAUCGAGCGGCCCCGCCCGUCCACGCUAAUUGAGCAUCUUAGGGAGGCGGGACCCUGCGGAGGUCACCCGGGCCUGGGUCCUCCGUGCCCGCGGGCCUGGCUGGCGCUGGCAGGUGCCGCCUGUGCCAGGAACCGAGGAGUCGAGGAAGGAGGCUGGGAAGCCGGGGUCGCUGGCGGCAGUCUCGGGCGGGAACGUCCCCACGGGGGCAGAGGCUGAGUGAGGGGCCCAGGGACGCUGUCAUGACCAGGCCGUGGGGGUUCUGCCGACCGGCUGACUCUAUGUUUUUGUUCCGCAGGUGGGGUCCAGUGACCUUGGCACGGCUACCAACAGGCCUUCCGGGUAAAUUUAAUUAACUGCGAUGCAAAGAUUGAUAUUCGUAGCUGCAAGAGACUUGAGGGCUGUGCGUUGGCAUAGAGGAAGAGAUGGUGGUCGUGCCGUCAUCCCAAGUGCGUUGAUCAUGAAGUGGGGAGGUGUGCAGAGCUUUCGAGGGGGAGACAGUUUGGGCUACAUCACCCCACUGCGGUGUGGCCUGUAAAGAAACCAGGGUAAAAUCACCCACCUCUGGUAGAAGUCAGAAGUGCUGGGGCUCAGGGAGGCCCCACAGGCUCCAGCUUGCAAGAGGAGAGUGCCCCAAAAUGCAGGAUGGAAGGUCACUGUGCAGGCUGCCCAUCGGAUGCCGGCCACCUCUGCAGGCCAUGUGGAGAGGUUUAGGAACAGUGAGCCAGGAAAGUGUUCUGCGCUUAUUCGGGAGGCAGUCCAGCCAGUGGGGUACUGUCAUCUGCGCUUCAUAAAUGGGUCAUGAGGCACAGAGCAAUGAAAUUCUCUGGCCAUCGUGAUGCUGUGCACCUGUCGUCACAGCAUUUGGGCGGCUGAGGCAGGAAGAUUUCAGUGAGUUCAAGGCCAGCCUGGGUUAUAUACAGUGACUGUGUCUUGAAAAUGUCCUCCAAAAAUCAUUUUGAAAUUCCUUUUAGACCUCCCUAACUUGAAUUAAGGAUCACAAUAAUCUGCAGUGGAAUCAACAUAAAGCCUGUUAUUUAGCUUCUGUUUAGUUUCAGUUCUCAACAUGUAUAUUCUUGUUUGUGCUGUUUAUUCUUAAGUAUACUGUAGCCACACGUUAUUAAAAAUAAAAAUAAGGAUUCUUGCUACAAAAACACACAAAUGGGUAACCUUGUGAGAUGAUGGGUCUGUUCCUGUCACUACCGUCACUGUCAGACUGUAUCCCAUAAUGUCAUGUUGCAUAGUGUCAUGGAUACUUUCUCAUUGCUAGGACAAACUACUGAACGCCCACAAGGAGGGUGUUCACAGUCUAGAGGUUUCUGCCUAGAGUCAACAAGGCAAGGCAGCAGGGCAGAAGGGCCUGGCUGGAGAGAAACAGCUCAGGGCAGGUGGCAAGAGGCAGAGAGGGAUCAAGGGAGGAGGAGGGACACAGAGCCUCCAGGCCACGCCCACAGCGGCCACCUCCACCAAUCAGGCUUCACCUCCCAACACCACGCCCAGCUGUACACCCAUUCGUGAACUAAUCCCGUGACACCCAUGUUCGGGUCACCACCACGAAUCCCCAUGAGGCUUCCUGGGGAUGCCUAGAUAUAAGCCUUGAAUAUACACAAUAAAAUGUAUUUUAAAAAAUGAAAAGUCUGGCAGGGAAGCAAGGGCCUACCCAAAACAAUUUAAACCUCUUUCUCAAAUUCCAAAGGAGGCUCUGGGAGGACCACACACACUGUACACAGGCUGGCAGUGUAUCUCCGUGGUUAGAGCACUUCCUUAGCAUGCAUGAGACCCUGGUGCCAUCCUCAAAGAGAACAAAAUAAAAACACAAUGUAUAGCCAA